rnacentral:rRNA from 1 species
ACAGUCAGAGCGGACAGAAGGGAGCUUGCUCCCGGAUGUUAGCGGCGGACGGGUGAGUAACACGUGGGUAACCUGCCUGUAAGACUGGGAUAACUCCGGGAAACCGGAGCUAAUACCGGAUAGUUCCUUGAACCGCAUGGUUCAAGGAUGAAAGACGGUUUCGGCUGUCACUUACAGAUGGACCCGCGGCGCAUUAGCUAGUUGGUGGGGUAAUGGCUCACCAAGGCGACGAUGCGUAGCCGACCUGAGAGGGUGAUCGGCCACACUGGGACUGAGACACGGCCCAGACUCCUACGGGAGGCAGCAGUAGGGAAUCUUCCGCAAUGGACGAAAGUCUGACGGAGCAACGCCGCGUGAGUGAUGAAGGUUUUCGGAUCGUAAAGCUCUGUUGUUAGGGAAGAACAAGUGCGAGAGUAACUGCUCGCACCUUGACGGUACCUAACCAGAAAGCCACGGCUAACUACGUGCCAGCAGCCGCGGUAAUACGUAGGUGGCAAGCGUUGUCCGGAAUUAUUGGGCGUAAAGGGCUCGCAGGCGGUUUCUUAAGUCUGAUGUGAAAGCCCCCGGCUCAACCGGGGAG